AUGACUGGUUUCAUGGAUGGCUAUACUCGGUGGAUAAUUGAAGAUGAGGAUGAUGAUGUUGAGGACGCCGACGGGGCAGCCAAUGACGACACUGGGCAAGACGAAGAGAUGAUUGAUAAUGGCGGUGGGGAAGAGGCCAGACAUGGCGGUAGAGAAGGGGCCGGACAUGGCGGAGGAGAAGGGGUUGGACAUGUCGGCGGAGAGAACAUGGACUCCAUGCAGCAGAGUUCGUCGGUACUAAGUUCAAUUGUGCGGGACCCUCAUGUUCAAGCACUGCUUCGCAAGGAGACAAGUACUGAGAGAGCUGCUUCUAGAGAGGAGGCUAAGCUGGAGCAACGGGUGGUAGACUCGAACACUCCAUUGUAUGAUGGUUGCAAUCCUGAGGUGACCCGCUUGAGUUUCACGCUCCAACUCCUGAAGACGAAGGCUAAAAACAAAUGGACCGACACUAGCCUCGAUGAGCAUCUCAAGUACCUAAAGGAUGUUCUUCCCGCGGGGAAUCUAUGUCCUACUAGUGUUGAUGAGGCCAAGAAGAUCGUGUGCCCUCUUGAUCUGCCGCAUGUUAGAUACCAUGCAUGCAUCAACGAUUGCAUAAUUUAUCGGAAGGAGCACGCGGAAAAAACAAGCUGUCCGGUGUGCAAUGCUUCUCGAUACAAGAAGGCCGGGAAGAAAUGUCCCUAG
rnacentral:rRNA from 1 species